GUUAAUUUCUCCAAGCCCAUGUUUUCCCAUCACUUCUUCUGAACCUAUGUUAGUUGAACCUACUUUUGCAUUAAAAUCUCCAAUGAUGGUAAGUACAUCAUGCUUUGGUGUAUCCAUUAUGAUCUGAUUUAAUUUAUCAUAAAAAAUCUCUUUCUCAUUAUCUGUAUAAUCAUUUGUUGGGGCAUAGCAUUGGAUAACGGUCAUGUGCCCAUAACUGGUCUUCAUUCGUAUUUUUAUUAUUCUUUCAUUUAUUGCUAUCCAUUCUACAACAGACUUGCUUGCUCUCUUACUCAAUAGAAUAGCUACUCCUUCCUGGUGUCUACCAUCUGUACGUCCUGAAUAAUAAAUGUCUGUACCUGAAUUAUGUUUAAAUUUUCCUGAAUCAGUCCAUCUGCAUUCACUAACACCCAAUAUGUCAAGCUUGAAUCUCUUCAUUUCCUUAAUUGUUUGAUCAGUUCUGCUUGUUUCGUUCAUAGUUCUAACAUUCCAACAACCAAAUUUUAACGUUUGUUUAGGAGACAGAAUAGAGUUUCUCAGAGUC
rnacentral:lncRNA from 1 species